GUCUAUUGCCAUACCAUCCUGAAUGCACCUGAUCUUGGCUGAUCUCUGAAGCUAAACAGGGUCAGCCCCGUUAGUACUUGGAUGGGAGACCACCUGGGAAUACCAGGUGCUGUAGGCU
rnacentral:rRNA from 1 species